UAGUCCACGCCGUAAACGAUGGUCACUAGCUGUUCGAACUUCGGUUUGAGUGGCUAAGCGAAAGUGAUAAGUGACCCACCUGGGGAGUACGUUCGCAAGAAUGAAACUCAAAGGAAUUGACGGGGGCCCGCACAAGCGGUGGAGCAUGUGGUUUAAUUCGAUGAUACGCGAGGAACCUUACCAGGGCUUAAAUGUAGAUUGACAGGUUUAGAGAUAGACUUUUCUUCGGACAAUUUACAAGGUGCUGCAUGGUUGUCGUCAGCUCGUGCCGUGAGGUGUCAGGUUAAGUCCUAUAACGAGCGCAACCCCUGUUGUUGGUUGCCAGCAUGUAAAGAUGGAAACUCUAACAAGACUGCCGGUGCAAACCGUGAGGAAGGUGGGGAUGACGUCAAAUCAUCACGGCCCUUACGUCCUGGGCUACACACGUGCUACAAUGGUAGGUACAGAGAGCAGCCAUGUCGCGAGGCAGAGCGAAUCUAAAAAAGUGAAAUCUCAGUUCGGAUUGGGGU
rnacentral:rRNA from 1 species